CCUUUUAUUUUGCAUCUUUUACUUUAAUCUUGUUAUUGGUUAUGUUGUGAUCUUUAUUUAUACUUCAUAUUGGGUUCAUCAAAUCUCAAUUCUUGCGUUGUCUUCAUCGGUCCCAACAAGUGGUAUCAGAGCAAGGUUGCAAGUUCUUCAUGAUUUGAUUGAGGUUUUCAGAGAUGGCUUCGAUGAAGUACGAUAUUUCGCUGCUGGAUCGCAAUACAAGGUUUUCGCUAUGGCAAGUAAAGAUGAGGGCUG
rnacentral:lncRNA from 1 species